rnacentral:lncRNA from 1 species
AAAAGAAGUUGAAGCAAUUGUCUUGCACUUGCAUACAAGAAACUCCAAAUAUCUCUUUGCACAUAUAUGAUUUCUCACUAAUCUAAUAACAGUUAUUAUACAAUUUGUUGUCUCUAGUUUAGAGCUGAGAAGCAAAUUCCUCCUUUUUCCGAUUUUGUUGUAAACACCUUUAAUCUUCUUUAGGCUUGAGGAAGGAUUACUAGGUUGCUUAGUUGGUGUAGUUAGAUGAUUGGGUUUGUGUGCACAAUUUGAAAUGGUAUCUCAGACACAUUGUAAUCUAUCUAGAUCAAAAAGGUUGUGCAGGAUUUGGGAGGAUAUACCAAAUACUAGUGAACUCUCACAAGUUUGUGAGGACCGGAGUAGUCCACCUUGAGUGAACUAGUAUAAUUUGUUGUGUGUCUCAAUCUUCUUUCUAUUCUCUUUUAUUUUCUGUAGAUUGACUUAAUCUACACACCAAGCAUAAGUUUUCAG